CUCUGGGUCAGCGCAGAAGGGCUGGGCCAGUUCAGCUAAGUGGAAUUAGACAGUUUCAGGAGCCACUGCAGUGAAAGGAGCAGUCUUUGCUGGAUGAGUGGUGAUAGAGGACUGCUGACGAAUGGGCUGGGAUCUCACCCACACUGUGCUCUUCCCAAAGAGGUGACUUCAGACUGGAAAGUAAAACAGUGGUGAAUCUCCAGAGCCGUGCUCAGUGGCCAGCAAGGGAGGCAGUGGGAUGAGGCACCUGCGGUGAUGCCAAC